AGAGUUUGAUCAUGGCUCAGAUUGAACGCUGGCGGCAGGCCUAACACAUGCAAGUCGAACGGUAACAGGAAGCAGCUUGCUGCUUCGCUGACGAGUGGCGGACGGGUGAGUAAUGUCUGGGAAACUGCCUGAUGGAGGGGGAUAACUACUGGAAACGGUGGCUAAUACCGCAUAACGUCGCAAGACCAAAGAGGGGGACCUUCGGGCCUCUUGCCAUCAGAUGUGCCCAGAUGGGAUUAGCUAGUUGGUGAGGUAACGGCUCACCAAGGCGACGAUCCCUAGCUGGUCUGAGAGGAUGACCAGCCACACUGGAACUGAGACACGGUCCAGACUCCUACGGGAGGCAGCAGUGGGGAAUAUUGCACAAUGGGCGCAAGCCUGAUGCAGCCAUGCCGCGUGUAUGAAGAAGGCCUUCGGGUUGUAAAGUACUUUCAGCGGGGAGGAAGGUGUUGUGGUUAAUAACCGCAGCAAUUGACGUUACCCGCAGAAGAAGCACCGGCUAACUCCGUGCCAGCAGCCGCGGUAAUACGGAGGGUGCAAGCGUUAAUCGGAAUUACUGGGCGUAAAGCGCACGCAGGCGGUCUGUCAAGUCGGAUGUGAAAUCCCCGGGCUCAACCUGGGAACUGCAUUCGAAACUGGCAGGCUUGAGUCUUGUAGAGGGGGGUAGAAUUCCAGGUGUAGCGGCGAAAGGCGUAGAGAUCUGGAGGAAAACCGGUGGCGAAGGCGGCCCCCUGCACAAAGACUGACGCUCAGGGGCGAAAGCGAGGGGGGUAAGCCGGAUUAGAUACCCUGGUAGUUCACGCCGUAAACGAUGUCUACUUGGAGGUUGU
rnacentral:rRNA from 1 species